ensembl:lncRNA
GGGAAAUAAGGAAAAUAAGGAAAUAAGGAAGCUCCUGCUGGAGUGGGCACUGCUGCGGUGUGGGAAUUAGGUAAGGCUCCUGCGGGAGCUGGAACUGCUGCAGCAGUGGGAAAAAAUAGGGAAAGGGUUCCUGCAGGAGCCUUUCCGUAUUUCCCCACUGCUACAGCAGUUUCUGCUCCUGCAGGAGCCUCUAUCUGUAUUUCUCUAUUGCCGCAGCAGUAUCUGCUCUCGGUGGAGCCUUAUUGGUUUCCCCCACUUCCGCAGCAGUGUCUGCUCCCGCAGGAGCCUUCAUCAACCCCCCCCCUGCCCCACUGCUGCAGCAGUUUCUGCUCCCACAGGAGCCUCUAUCUGUAUUUCCCUCUGCCACAGCAGUGUCUGCUCCCGCAAGAUCCUUAUAUGUUUUUUCGCACUGCAGGAGCUUCUCCCGAAGGAGCCUCCAUCCAUAUAUCCCCACUGCCAUAGCAGUGCCUGCUCCCACAGGAGCUCUUCCAUAUUUCCCCACUGCCGUAGCAGUGUCAGCUCCCGCAGGAACCUUUUUCUAUCUUCCCUACUGCCGCAAUAAUCGCAUCUUCAGCAGAAGUUGUCAUCUCUCUCUUUCAAGUGGACGCUUACACGGAAGUCAAAUUCUCUUCCUAGACACUGCCACAACAACUGUAUACCAAAGGACUUCCAGCACCCAUCUAACAUUAAGCCCAGCUUUUUGGGGAGUCGUAAAUGUGCGUAUCUGGCUGCUGUCCUGUUCUAAUUGCUUUUUGGGGGAGCACUUUUGGCUGGGCCGGACCCCUAGCUCAGACCCCUCUCCCCGGACGGACGGACGGGGGUGGGUGGGGGUGGGGGGGGUGGGGGUGGUUAUGGUAGGGGUUGGUGUUGGUGGGUGUGUCUUAACAAAGAGCUCUCUCCCCGGACAGCACGCCAAAUACGCAUAACCUUUAUUUAAUUAUAAGUAAAUGUUAACUUGUGAAUGUAUAUUCUAGAAAAAUAAGAAGAAGCUUUAUAUAGCACUAUUUCUCAGUUCAUGCCUGCUUUACAAAAGUAGAU